UGGGGAAUCUUGCACAAUGGGCGAAAGCCUGAUGCAGCCAUGCCGCGUGAAUGAUGAAGGCCCUAGGGUUGUAAAAUUCUUUCGCCAGGGAUGAUAAUGACAGUACCUGGUAAAGAAGCACCGGCUAACUUCGUGCCAGCAGCCGCGGUAAUACGAAGGGUGCUAGCGUUGUUCGGAAUUACUGGGCGUAAAGCGCGCGUAGGCGGACUGUUAAGUCAGAUGUGAAAUCCCGGGGCUCAACUCCGGAACUGCAUUUGAAACUGAUAGUCUAGAGACCAGGAGAGGUUAGUGGAAUACCGAGUGUAGAGGUGAAAUUCGUAGAUAUUCGGUGGAACACCAGUGGCGAAGGCGACUAACUGGACUGGAACUGACGCUGAGGUGCGAAAGUGUGGGGAGCAAACAGGAUUAGAUACCCCCGUAGUCC
rnacentral:rRNA from 1 species